GGCCAGACUCCUACGGGAGGCAGCAGUGGGGAAUAUUGCACAAUGGGGGAAACCCUGAUGCAGCGACGCCGCGUGAGUGAAGAAGUAUUUCGGUAUGUAAAGCUCUAUCAGCAGGGAAGAAGUUGACGGUACCUGAGUAAGAAGCCCCGGCUAACUACGUGCCAGCAGCCGCGGUAAUACGUAGGGGGCAAGCGUUAUCCGGAUUUACUGGGUGUAAAGGGAGCGUAGACGGCAGUGCAAGUCUGAAGUGAAAGCCCCGGGCUUAACCCGGGAACUGCUUUGGAAACUGUACGGCUGGAGUGCUGGAGAGGUAAGCGGAAUUCCUAGUGUAGCGGUGAAAUGCGUAGAUAUUAGGAGGAACACCAGUGGCGAAGGCGGCUUACUGGACAGUAACUGACGUUGAGGCUCGAAAGCGUGGGGAGCAAACAGGAUUAGAUACCCUCGUA
rnacentral:rRNA from 1 species